rnacentral:rRNA from 1 species
GGAGUUAGCCGGUGCUUCUUCUGUGAGUGAUGUCCUUCCUGCCGGCUAUUAACCCGCAGGCCUUCUUCCUCACUGAAAGUGCUUUACAACCCGAAGGCCUUCUUCACACACGCGGCAUGGCUGGAUCAGGGUUGCCCCCAUUGUCCAAUAUUCCCCACUGCUGCCUCCCGUAGGAGUCUGGGCCGUGUCUCAGUCCCAGUGUGGCUGAUCAUCCUCUCAGACCAGCUACGGAUCGUCGCCUUGGUGAGCCGUUACCUCACCAACCAGCUAAUCCGACAUAGGCUCAUCCGAUAGCGCGAGGCCCGAAGGUCCCCCGCUUUCCCCCGUAGGGCGUAUGCGGUAUUAGCCUGGGUUUCCCCAGGUUAUCCCCCACUACCGGGCAGAUUCCUAUGCAUUACUCACCCGUCCGCCGCUCGCCACCAGGGAGCAAGCUCCCCGUGCUGCCGCUCGACUUGCAUGUGUAGCNGCCGCCAGCGUCAUCUGAGCGAGAUACAACUACUGA